rnacentral:lncRNA from 10 species
CCCAAGUCCAUCACAUCUGAUAACCACUGUCAGGCUAGACAGUGGACUCAUGGUGCUCUCAGGGCGACCUCACAGGGGCUUGGCCGUGGCACUGAGGGGAGAGCCUGAUUGGCUGGCUGUUUCAUUGCCAGAUCUCUGAAGGCCAAUCAGGAUUUGUAGCUCAGCCACCUGCUUUCUGAGGAGCACUGAGCAAGAUGGCCACCUCCUGGUGGUAAGUCUCGCUCCUGGAGUUCCCAUCUUGACCCUACAGCGGGACAUUUUGCCGCCACCUCUUUGUGUGUUGGGAAGAUGACGUCCUUUCUGCUCGUCCUGCUUCUCUGAUUGAUCUGUGUCUCUGGAGAUCCCUUUGCUCAGCCAUCAGAUCAAGCAGGCAUCCAUGGUUCAGAAUGGUGAUGACCUGGGCAAGAGCUCACCAGUAAGGAGCAAAGGGGCCCGCCUGCCACUCUUAAGCAGAGCGCCUGCUGAAUCAGGAUUUCCAAGGCUCCGGCUGAGUGCCUGGCUGGGGGCUGUGUGUGCAGAUGCCACAAGAUGGACAAGACUGAGGACGCAGAUGAGGAAACUGAAGCAACUGUUCAAGAAGAGGAUAUAAAAAGGGACAGGCAUUGAUGAUGAUAUCAGAGCUUCUUCCUGGGGAAUCUCAGCCUCACAUGAUGGAGUAUGACUAAAGGAAAAAAAUAAGGCUCUUCACAUACUUUCUUGGCAGUCUGUGAGGGUCAGGGUUGAUUUUGUGUCCCUAAAAUGUCACAUGAAGUUCAUAGGCACUUCCAAAGGGGCAGUCUAGCAAGUUAAAGAGUAGAUGUGGGGCUGUGUGGAGUCCAUUGUUUGGGUAAUCUUUUUCAAACAGUAGGAAUAUACCAGCUUGUAAAGAUUUGCCCACUUAGCUUCAAGUCUCUCUGAACACAUUUCCCCCCGCUCUAUGAAUAGAUGAAGACAUACAAAUGGAACUCUUGAUAUUCUUAAGUGAAAAACAUGAUAUGGAAUAGCAGAUAAAUACAAACAAUUUCUUAUCCAGCAAAGAGCUCCAGAAAUAUUUUGACUUCAUUUAAAACAGUUAUAUAAAUAUUUGCUGGUGGAAUUUUUUUCUAAACCAAAUACCCUGAAGGAUUUUAGUUGUCUAUCUACAACUUUUUGCUUGUGGAAAAUGUUGACUUCCUGGUUACUUUGACUUGUGUUCACCUGAAAUUUUGCUUUUGCAGUAGUUUUUCUUAUGAUUUAGUGGCAUUGCCUGUCCAGUGACAGGAAGUGGUGUUCUUAUUGGGACUAAUAUGUGUUAUGGCCCUAGAACCAGCAGAAGCCACUCCUGCUUUUUUCCACACUCUUCUUUCUAUAGAAGAGAAGGGAAUGAGGAUCCCACAUGGCAUUCACUGCCUUGAGCAUACUGAGAUUUCUUUGCAAAAGGAGAAACAGCACCAGCAACUAAGCAUUUUAUCCCAUUUUAUUUUACUUCUUCUAUGAUUCUUUGCCACUUAGCAAUGCCAAUUAAUUGAUUUGGGACUGGAAAUACAUUUCUUAUACAAUCUUCAAGUUUUCUUUCAUAAGAACAUAACUUUCAUCUGAUAUUGUUCCCCACUUCUCUCUUUUCAAAUGUAAUAUUUGGGCCAGUCCUUGAAAGUGAACUGAGUUGAGUUCUCAUGGCCCAUAAAAGAACAUAUUCAAAAUGUAUCAUUUUCUUUAUGUCACAGAUAAAAGAUCAUUAAUUGUAUAUAAAAUUUCCAUAUAAUUUUUAAAAUUUUUAUUUUGCAAUAAUUUAUUUUAGAUUUACAUUAAAGUUGCAAGGAAGGU